rnacentral:lncRNA from 1 species
CCUAGUACAACCUCCUAUAUGUAGACAAAACUGCAUUUUCCUCAAAUAGUCCGGUAUCUGAAGAGUAAGAAGCUUGCAGUGGACUAACUUCCUACUGGACCAUUGAGUCUGGAGACAUCAGUUGUAUAUGUUCCCACCUUCCAGCCUUGCUUAUCUGACUGCCCUUCACACAACAAAGGGCCCUAAUUCUGCCACUGAAUUUGUUCAAAUGGACCUCGAUAGCCACGGGG